rnacentral:tRNA from 1 species
UCCCUGGUGGCUCAGAUGGUAAAGAAUCCACCUGCAAUGUGGGAGACCCAGGUUUGAUCCCUGGGUUGGGAA